rnacentral:rRNA from 1 species
AUACAGAGGGUGCAAACGUUGCUCGGAAUUACUGGGCGUAAAGCGCGUGUAGGCGGAUUCGAAAGUCAGGUGUGAAAUCCCUGGGCUCAACCUAGGAACUGCAUUUGAAACUUCGUGUCUGGAGUGAUAGAGAGGAAAGCGGAAUUAUUGGUGUAGAGGUGAAAUUCGUAGAUAUCAAUAGGAACACCAGUGGCGAAGGCGGCUUUCUGGACAUUUACUGACGCUGAGACGCGAAAGCAUGGGGAGCAAACAGUAUUAGAAACCCUAGUAGUCC